rnacentral:rRNA from 1 species
AUUGAACGCUGGCGGAAUGCUUUACACAUGCAAGUCGAGCGGCAGCGCGGGGGCAACCCUGGCGGCGAGCGGCGAACGGGUGAGUAACACAUCGGAACGUACCCAGUAGUGGGGGAUAACUAACCGAAAGGUUAGCUAAUACCGCAUACGCCCUGAGGGGGAAAGUGGGGGAUCGCAAGACCUCACGUUAUUGGAGCGGCCGAUGUCGGAUUAGCUAGUUGGUGAGGUAAAGGCUCACCAAGGCGACGAUCCGUAGCGGGUCUGAGAGGACGGCCCGCCACACUGGAACUGAGACACGGUCCAGACUCCUACGGGAGGCAGCAGUGGGGAAUUUUGGACAAUGGGGGCAACCCUGAUCCAGCCAUUCCGCGUGAGUGAAGAAGGCCUUCGGGUUGUAAAGCUCUUUCGGCAGGAACGAAACGGUCUAGGUUAAUACCCUGGGCUAAUGACGGUACCUGAAGAAGAAGCACCGGCUAACUACGUGCCAGCCGCCGCGGUAAUAC